rnacentral:rRNA from 1 species
CAACAAGGCCUUUACUGACGCUAAAGCUCGAAGGUGCGGGUAUCGAACAGGAUUAGAUACCCUGGUAGUCCGCACGGUAAACGAUGGAUGCCCGCUGUUCGCGAUAGACUGUGAGCGGCCAAGAGAAAUCGUUAAGCAUCCCACCUGGGGAGUACGCCGGCAACGGUGAAACUCAAAGGAAUUGACGGGGGCCCGCACAAGCGGAGGAACAUGUGGCUUAAUUCGAUGAUACGCGAGGAACCUUACCCGGGCUUGAACUGCAGCAGGAGGAUACAGAGAUGUUGACGCCCUUCGGGGCUGCUGUGGAGGUGCUGCAUGGUUGUCGUCAGCUCGUGCCGUGAGGUGUCGGCUUAAGUGCCAUAACGAGCGCAACCCUUUUCAUUAGUUGCCAUCAGGUAAUGCUGGGCACUCUGGUGAUACUGCCACCGUAAGGUGUGAGGAAGGUGGGGAUGACGUCAAAUCAGCACGGCCCUUACGUCCGGGGCUACACACGUGUUACAAUGGGGAGUACAGAGAGUCAGCCGCCGGUAACGUCGGUUCAAUCAAUAAAGCUCUCCUCAGUUCGGAUUGGGGUCUGCAACCCGACCCCAUGAAGCUGGAU